CCUACGGGCGGCAGCAGUGGGGAAUAUUGGACAAUGGGGGCAACCCUGAUCCAGCCAUGCCGCGUGUGUGAAGAAGGCCCUCGGGUUGUAAAGCACUUUCAGUGAGGAAGAACGCCUGGUGGUUAAUACCCAUCAGGAAAGACAUCACUCACAGAAGAAGCACCGGCUAACUCCGUGCCAGCAGCCGCGGUAAUACGGAGGGUGCGAGCGUUAAUCGGAAUUACUGGGCGUAAAGCGCGCGUAGGUGGCUUGAUAAGCCGGUUGUGAAAGCCCCGGGCUCAACCUGGGAACGGCAUCCGGAACUGUCAAGCUAGAGUGCAGGAGAGGAAGGUAGAAUUCCCGGUGUAGCGGUGAAAUGCGUAGAGAUCGGGAGGAAUACCAGUGGCGAAGGCGGCCUUCUGGACUGACACUGACACUGAGGUGCGAAAGCGUGGGUAGCAAACAGGAUUAGAUACCCUAGUAGUU
rnacentral:rRNA from 1 species